GUGGGGAAUAUUGCACAAUGGAGGAAACUCUGAUGCAGCGACGCCGCGUGAGCGAUGAAGUAUUUCGGUAUGUAAAGCUCUAUCAGCAGGGAAGAUAAUGACGGUACCUGAGUAAGAAGCUCCGGCUAAAUACGUGCCAGCAGCCGCGGUAAUACGUAUGGAGCAAGCGUUAUCCGGAUUUACUGGGUGUAAAGGGAGUGUAGGCGGCUUUGCAAGUCAGAUGUGAAAGCCCGGGGCUCAACCCCGGGACUGCAUUUGAAACUGUGAAGCUGGAGUGUCGGAGAGGUAAGUGGAAUUCCUAGUGUAGCGGUGAAAUGCGUAGAUAUUAGGAAGAACACCAGUGGCGAAGGCGGCUUACUGGACGAUUACUGACGCUGAGGCUCGAAAGCGUGGGGAGCAAACAGGAUUAGAUACCCUAGUAGUCC
rnacentral:rRNA from 1 species